UUAAGUGAAUAAGGGCGCACGGUGGAUGCCUUGGCACUAGGAGCCGAUGAAGGACGGGACUAACACCGAUAUGCUUUGGGGAGCUGUAAGUAAGCUAUGAUCCAGAGAUUUCCGAAUGGGGGAACCCAAUAUCUUUUAUAGGAUAUUACUUUUCAGUGAAUACAUAGCUGAUUAGAGGUAGACGCAGAGAACUGAAACAUCUUAGUACCUGCAGGAAGAGAAAGAAAAUUCGAUUCCCUGAGUAGCGGCGAGCGAAACGGGAAGAGCCCAAACCAACAAGCUUGCUUGUUGGGGUUGUAGGACUCCAAUAUGGUAGUCUGUUAGUAUAGUUGAAGGAUUUGGAAAAUUCCGCUAAAGAGGGUGAAAGCCCCGUAGACGAAAUGCUGACAACACCUAGGAGGAUCCUGAGUACGGCGGAACACGAGAAAUUCCGUCGGAAUCCGCGGGGACCAUCCCGCAAGGCUAAAUACUCCCUAGUGACCGAUAGUGAACCAGUACCGUGAGGGAAAGGUGAAAAGCACCCCGGAAGGGGAGUGAAAUAGAUCCUGAAACCGUGUGCCUACAACAAGUCAAAGCUCGUUAAUGAGUGAUGGCGUGCCUUUUGUAGAAUGAACCGGCGAGUUACGAUUGCAUGCGAGGUUAAGUCGAAGAGACGGAGCCGCAGCGAAAGCGAGUCUGAAUAGGGCGAAUGAGUAUGUAGUCGUAGACCCGAAACCAUGUGAUCUACCCAUGUCCAGGUUGAAGGUGCGGUAAAACGCACUGGAGGACCGAACCCACGUACGUUGAAAAGUGCGGGGAUGAGGUGUGGGUAGCGGAGAAAUUCCAAACGAACUUGGAGAUAGCUGGUUCUCUCCGAAAUAGCUUUAGGGCUAGCCUCGGAAUUGAGAAUGAUGGAGGUAGAGCACUGUUUGGACUAGGGGCCCAUCUCGGGUUACCGAAUUCAGAUAAACUCCGAAUGCCAUUCAUUUAUAUCCGGGAGUCAGACUGCGAGUGAUAAGAUCCGUAGUCGAAAGGGAAACAGCCCAGACCACCAGCUAAGGUCCCAAAAUAUAUGUUAAGUGGAAAAGGAUGUGGGGUUGCACAGACAACUAGGAUGUUGGCUUAGAAGCAGCCACCAUUUAAAGAGUGCGUAAUAGCUCACUAGUCGAGUGACCCUGCGCCGAAAAUGUACCGGGGCUAAACAUAUUACCGAAGCUGUGGACUACACCAUUAGGUGUAGUGGUAGGAGAGCGUUCUAAGGGCGUUGAAGGUCGAUCGUGAGGACGGCUGGAGCGCUUAGAAGUGAGAAUGCCGGUAUGAGUAGCGAAAGACAGGUGAGAAUCCUGUCCACCGUAUGACUAAGGUUUCCUGGGGAAGGCUCGUCCGCCCAGGGUUAGUCGGGACCUAAGCCGAGGCCGAUAGGCGUAGGCGAUGGACAACAGGUUGAUAUUCCUGUACCAGUUGUUUUUGUUUGAGCAAUGGAGGGACGCAGUAGGCUAAGGAAUGCAUGCGAUUGGAAGUGCAUGUCCAAGCAAUGAGUCUUGAGUAGAGUUAAAUGCUUUACUCUUUAAGGACAAGUUGUGACGGGGAGCGAAAUAAUAGUAGCGAAGUUCCUGAUGUCACACUGCCAAGAAAAGCUUCUAGUGAGAAAACAACUGCCCGUACCGUAAACCGACACAGGUAGUCGAGGAGAGUAUCCUAAGGUGAGCGAGCGAACUCUCGUUAAGGAACUCGGCAAAAUGACCCCGUAACUUCGGGAGAAGGGGUGCUGACUUCGGUCAGCCGCAGUGAAUAGGCCCAAGCGACUGUUUAUCAAAAACACAGGUCUCUGCAAAAUCGUAAGAUGAAGUAUAGGGGCUGACGCCUGCCCGGUGCUGGAAGGUUAAGAGGAUGGGUUAGCUUCGGCGAAGCUCAGAAUUGAAGCCCCAGUAAACGGCGGCCGUAACUAUAACGGUCCUAAGGUAGCGAAAUUCCUUGUCGGGUAAGUUCCGACCCGCACGAAAGGCGUAACGAUUUGGGCACUGUCUCAACGAGAGACUCGGUGAAAUUUUAGUACCUGUGAAGAUGCCGGUUACCCGCGACAGGACGGAAAGACCCCAUGGAGCUUUACUGUAGUUUGAUAUUG
rnacentral:rRNA from 1 species